UCGGUUCCGGUUCACCGCGUAAUGCGCGAUGUCGAUGAUUGCGCAUGCGGACCCGGCGUCC
rfam:Actinomyces sp. HMSC065F12 Actinomyces_spHMPREF2975-1.0_Cont116.2, whole genome shotgun sequence.